UACGGGGGGAGCAAGCGUUGUUCGGAUUUACUGGGCGUAAAGGGCGCGUAGGCGGCCAGUGCAAGUCAGUUGUGAAAUCUCCGAGCUUAACUCGGAAAGGUCAACUGAUACUGCUCGGCUAGAGUGCGGAAGGGGCAACUGGAAUUCUUGGUGUAGCGGUGAAAUGCGUAGAUAUCAAGAGGAACACCUGCGGCGAAGGCGACUACCUGGCCUGUUUCUUGACGCUGAGGCGCGAAAGCUAGGGGAGCAAACGGG
rnacentral:rRNA from 1 species